GCAUCUCUCAUUCUGAAACCCUCAUGUAAACUAACUGCCUAUAUCACAUGUUUCCAUGGUAUCCUAGGAGAUCUCCAUCCUGAAGUAAUCCAAGCCAAGCCAAGGUAUAUUCAUUAAGCACCUACCAUGUGCAAAGCACUGUGCUGGAUGCUGGGGAUAUAAAGACAAGAUCAAGAAGUUUAAAUUCUACUAGACAUGGAAGAUGUAUGUGUGAAUGAUGUGCAGCAGAUACAGUCUGUCAACAGAUAAGUACACACAUGAUCAUUUGAGUAGAGAUCACAAAAUUUGAGAGUCAGGAGAGACCCCAGAAGCCAUCCUCCCUAUACUAUAGCUGACAAGUAGUCUCAAGCCACUACUUGAAGGUCUCCAAAAGGGGCUCCCACUACCUCCUGAGGCAGCCCAUUCUAAUUUGGGACAGCUCUAAACAUGAGGAAGUUUGCUUGAUAUCCAGUUUAACUUUGCCUCCUUGCAACACCCACCCACUGCUCAUGAUUCUUUCUACCCUUUAGAGUCAAGUAGAAAAAUCUGUUACCUUUCACAUAUGAGAGGCCUGAAGAUACCUAUGAUGGGGUCUGGGGGCUCGAGCACACACCCAUAAAAGCUACAGAUGUUUCCUUCCUAGGCUCUGACCAACAAUGCUGGGCCAGGGGGGGAUGCUGUGGGGGCCUUUCUUCUCUACAGGAAUCACCAGCUGGGCACUCCAUCCUGGGGAUGUGAAAAAGAUGGUGACACACCUAUCAAGAGCCAGGGGAUGCUGGCCAGCCACUUAGAGCUCUGAAGGAUCUACCCAGGCUAGACUGUGACUGUGUAAGGAUGAAGAUGACGUCACGAUCUGAUGAAGGAGGAAACCUCUUAAUGGCUCCUACAAAUGUUGGCCUAUACCCGUCAUUCAAUCCUGUGCCCUGGUUGGCAAGAGCACAUGACCAGCUGCUAGAUGUCCAGCAAUGAUCUAGGGGGCUGUCUACCCCAUGAAUGGUAUGACUUCACCAAUCGGAAUGAGUGGAUGAGAGCAAUUUGUUUCAAGAGUCAUGAAGGCUUUUGAAUACAGCUGGAGAUCUGGUACAGCAGGGUCACUUCCCUUCAUUUUUUUUUCAAUAAUUCCUUUGAUAUUUUUUACUUUUUGUCCUUCCAAGUUAAUUUUUAUUCAUUUAAUAAU
rnacentral:lncRNA from 1 species